rnacentral:rRNA from 1 species
UACGAAGGGGGCUAGCGUUGUUCGGAUUUACUGGGCGUAAAGCGCACGUAGGCGGAUCGAUCAGUCAGGGGUGAAAUCCCAGAGCUCAACUCUGGAACUGCCUUUGAUACUGUCGAUCUGGAGUAUGGAAGAGGUGAGUGGAAUUCCGAGUGUAGAGGUGAAAUUCGUAGAUAUUCGGAAGAACACCAGUGGCGAAGGCGACUCACUGGACAUGUAUUGACGCUGAGGUGCGAAAGCAUGGGGAGCGAACAGG